UGGGGAAUAUUGGACAAUGGAGGAAACUCUGAUCCAGCAAUUCUGUGUGUGUGAAGAAGGUUUUAGGACUGUAAAACACUUUUAGUAGGGAAGAAAAAAAUGACGGUACCUACAGAAGAAGCAACGGCUAAUUCCGUGCCAGCAGCCGCGGUAAUACGGAAGGUCCAGGCGUUAUCCGGAUUUAUUGGGUUUAAAGGGAGUGUAGGCGGUUGGUUAAGCGUGUUGUGAAAUGUAGAUGCUCAACAUCUGACUUGCAGCGCGAACUGGCUGACUUGAGUACACACAACGUAGGCGGAAUUCAUGGUGUAGCGGUGAAAUGCUUAGAUAUCAUGAAGAACUCCGAUUGCGAAGGCAGCUUACGGGAGUGUUACUGACGCUUAAGCUCGAAGGUGCGGGUAUCGAACAGG
rnacentral:rRNA from 1 species